UCACCAUUUCCAGAAGCCCGCCCUUUCGUUUCCGGAAGCUCGGCGCGCGCAAAGUCUGCAGAUGGCAUGCAGGGUAACAGUGGAGAGCGUAUUCAGCGGACUUGGGCUGUUCGGCCAGUCGCCGGCUGGACAUAGGACGCUGGAGGGUCCGCUGUGUGGAGUCCUUGCCUUCAGCGUCCGCGGCUGGGAAAUCGGCAAUCGCCACGGCGGAACUGAAAGUCGGGCUCCAUCAGGGCCCUUUCGCGUCCACCCUCCGGACUCCUGGGCGCUUGCGCUAGGGCUGAGGUAGUUUCCAGACCUCUAACCUGUAGUGUCUCGAGGUUAAAGGAAUUGGGAGCUUCUUUUCUAUUCUUCUGUUUUGGAUACAUUUGUAGGUCCAGAUUUUGAAGGAAUUACUAUAGAGAUUGAACAGAGCUGCACCUGGAUCCCCCAGCAGUGAGGAGACCUGAAGACCAGAGGAAACUAAGCAAGUUAGAAAUUCAGACAGCUCACAGAAGAGACAGUUUGCCUCUGCUCCAGAUGUCUGUGGCCUCAACCAGGAGGAUUCAAAGGCUGGGAGUGAUCUGAUGUCUGAGAGCUGCAAUCCUACAAAGUCUGCUUUGCACACAGGUCUGGCACCUGGGGUGAGAGGACUCAAACACUCAGACUAGUAGCCUCUUUAUGUGACUUGACUUCCUCAUAGCAUGGUGGCUCAGGGCACUUGGAACUUCUGACAUGAUGCCUCAAGACUUCAAUCACAGGAGUUUCAGCUAAUGAGGUCAAGGUCACAGUGCCUCUUAUGACAGGCUUGGGAGCCACACAGCAUUGCUUACAAACAACAAACCAAUCGAGAUUCAAGGACAGAGGAGUUAAACUUCACCUCUGAAAGUGGGAAGGCAAAAUUCUAGAAGAACACAUGGUACAAGCCUUUUGUUGCAACCACCUUUAAAAAAUACAGUUUGCCACAAUUACCUUUGGAAUCUAGAAAACCAAUUCAUUAUUCUAAAACUAAUAAUUCUGAAAACUAAUGAAUAUGAAUGAAAAAAAUCAA